UGAUCGUGACCUUCCCGCCUUGACCCAAU
rnacentral:piRNA from 1 species